AUUUAAAUACAUUUUUGAAAGAAAAGACGCAAUGAGAGAUAUAUGCCAUUUUCUGCCUCAAUUGCACAGGUUAGAAAAAGACAAAACUUUCACUCACAAAUAACGUGAAACAGAAACCUUAACAUCAGAAAUUGUUUAACAAUUCAAUGACACUCCUUUCACUUUCAGAUUAUCAUUCUGGGAGGAAUAUGACUGUCUUUUAAGCUAUGAAACGCUUAAAUAAUCAGGGGAAAUCAAAAGCUCUAAGUGGAAACCCAUUUUAUGAGUGCUUCAGAAAGUGAUCAAAAAAUGUUUUUAAUAUGGUCUUGUCCCUGAGACUGCUGCCUCCUGAUGUAGAUGGAAGUCUAACUUUUUUCUCUCUGGGCCAUUGUGCUUCUUACUGAGUCUACUAAGUACAUUUUACUGCUCUGCAGCAACAAAGGAAUUGGAGGACAUUGUCUUAGAACAGCCAACCCAUAACUAUCAGAGCCACCAGCAUUGGAUGAUUACAAAGGAUCCCUAAGAAAACACAUUGUUUAGAGGAAAUUCACUUUCAACUAUAGGGUGUAUCUCCCAGUAGCCAGCUCACAUUAGACUAUUGUGGGAUAUUUUGGGUUAGCUGGAGAGGCAUGCCUUUAACACAAACAAAAAGCGUACUACUAACAGAAAAACAACUUGGAAAAUUGUCUUGGGCUUUGGAUUCACAGGCUUCGAAUUCACAUAUGCCUAAUUUCCAACAUGGACUUUGACUCACACUUGCUAUGUGGCCCAGGAAAUUUUACCCAACCUUCUUGUGCUGUAGUUUCCUUACCUACAUAUAAGACUAUAAAAUCUAUCUUAUAGGGCUAUAAUGAAGGUUAUUAUCUAGUAUACAUUAGGAUCCUGUUACUGUUUCUGACUUUCCUAUUAUUUCUCUGAAGUUAUUCAGGGAAGUAAGUGUGUGGGGAGAGGAAAGUAUUGCUUGGGUCAGAAAGCAGAUUUAAUCUAAAACUAUUACUAAACAAGAUAGUGAGCUACAUGCACACCAAAAAGAGCUGUGUUAGUUUUUUCAUUAGCUCUUACUGUAGCCUAAUUCUACAUGGUAAUCUUUGUGUGCUUAUACCAUUAUUUGGAUAUUCUGACAUUAUAGGGCUCAUUUUUCUCAUGUAGUUUUGGUUGAGCUAAAGAUAACUUGGCCAUGACCUCUCUAGGAAGUAUUAUCACAUUAAUUCCUUGGACUUGGUGUCAAGACAUAUUUGUCCUAGGAAUAGGAUUGUGUCUAUCCUCCCCAAAUCAAAUGCUGGAACCAAUCAAAUCAAAUCCUUCUAACACUCAAGCCUUUAAACCAGAGACCUAUUUAUUGGUCUUGGACCUAUUAAUUGCCUUUUGUAGAAACUAUUUAUGAACAAUAACCAUGUCCUCCCAAGUGCCAUAAAUGAAUGAAUAUAUAAAGCAUAGGGGUUCACUGUGGAGUAGCCUUGGUGUGCUGAAGGCACUGAGGGCCUCUGGUUGGUGAGAUCUUAGUUGUAAUAGGCUUGUGGUCCACAUUCCUGGAUAAUCUGGAGGAAUAAUGAACUAGAUUUAGAUUCCAGAGAAGUGGGAGGGAAGUCAGGAGAGAGCCAGGAAGAGAAAAAAAUCGAGUAUGGGGAGUAGUUAAAACCCAACCACAGAAAGUAGGCUUUAGGAAGCAAGCUGUGCUGUUGGCUGUGAGGAUUCUGCCUCCCAACUAAGGGGACUUCGACUGGACUCUGCUUGAACUUAAAGGAGGCUUGUUCCAAGGGCUCAGCCAAUUGUAUGGAUCAUGUACUAGGUAAGCUAGGUGAGCACUAGAUAUUAAAUUAAUAUUUUAAUUCAACUCAAUCUUCUACUGUAUGGAAGAGUGCUUGUGUGUUUCCCAAGGUACAGAGGAGAGGCAAAUACCUUAUCAUGUGCUCUCUCCCUUCUGUACCUAGGGAGAAAUGAGAGGCUCUGCUUUUGACACUGGAAAUAGUGUAUAAAUCCAUUCUGGAUGGAAAACCCUGUGAACUUAUCUUCAUUCUAGCUCUGACAUAUUCCAAAGACCUUGCUGAUAACCUCCAAAUCCUUAGCUUUCUCAAUGCCAACCUACACCUUGAAACUUCAAAUAUAAAUCUAUUUGCCUAAAUCCUAUUCACCAAAAUCUAAUUUAUCAAUUGAACAAUUUAUGAAUGACCUAUCAGCUAUACCUAUUUGCUUGUUUCCUUAAACAUUUAUAAAAUUUAAAUAUUGUUUGGCUUUUGAAGCUUUUGAGGUUCUUUAUAUGAUUUAGUUAUCUUGCUCUCAUUUUAUCUUGCUAAUAGCCCUUUAAGGAUUAUGGCAUAUCUUUCUCUACCAUAUCCUUACAUUCAAACUUGGCGAGAAAAAUAUAUACAUAUACUUCCCCAUGAUGGUUUGUGGGUGGGCAUAAAAUAUUUAACCCCCCCAAAUUAGUUUAUAAGCUAUUGAUAUUGAUGAUAUAAUUGAGAGACAACUAUGCUUUUAAUGUGUUGUAGAAUUAUUUAUUGAUUGAAUGUAAUUUAAGAAAGGAAAAACAGUGCAUUUAUCUAUAACAAAUACAUAUUUAACUCCUGUUUUGUCCAUCAGAAGGAGUAAGAAAUAUAGACAUAAUUAUGAGGUAAAAACAGUUCAAAAUUAACUUUUACAAAGAGAAAAAUAAAUUCAAUAAUUCAAGAAGGCAGUGGAGUAAAAAAAUGUAUCCACUUAGUGAUUCUUCACAUCUGAUUUAGUAUAGUUUAAGUGGAUAGCACCAUUUCACAUAAGCAUAAAAAAUUCUAGAGUGGUUAUACUCUAAAGUGAAAGGUUUUCAGAGAAAUUUCUGAAAGCAAGGGAAUUUUCAUGUGAUAUCCUUCAUGAGGUCCUUGCGAAAUUCAGCAACCAACUUAUUCUAUCAGUACAAAAGGCCAAUUUUCUUCUUUUAUUGACUUUAAUGAUAAGGCAAGUAUAUCUUUAAUGAUAAGCAUGUCUAUAAAAUGGCAUGUUUUCUUUCCAUUUAGAAGACAAUACUGCCAUUUUUGAUUAUCAAGGUAAGAGUGGCAUUGAAUUUUUCCUAAGUCUUGGACUUUGGCUAUCUCUGCAGAGUUCUAACAUUUAUUUCAUUGAUUUCCCAUUUGUGCUGACUGCAUAUACUUCUAUGAGUUGUUUGAGUAUCUUUCUCCAUUGGUCUUGAGUCAAGAUAUAAGAAGGCUUUUGAUUGCUUCACUUAAUUUAAACUUGGCAUCUUGAAGAGAAUUUCUUCCUAUACGCAUAUAUUCAUACUCUGUUGUCUUCUUGCUGAAUUGUUUCACUGUUACUAACAGACUCCAGGGACUUUUCUCAUCUUUUUCAUUUCUAUUGCUCUACUUUACAACUGUACAAUCCCUUAGAUGUUUUAUAUUCAUAACUCAGUAUCCAGCAUUUUGAAUUUUAAUGGUAUAUUUAUGCUUUGCUUAUUUCUCCUAUCUCCUGAAGAGUGUCUCUUGAAGAGUUACAGAUAUGGUCAUAAAAUCCAAUAAAGAUGCAUUUGUCAAACUGAUUUAUUUUCCAAACUUUGUCUCUGUUAAACUCAUAAAAGAAACCAGAUUUCAGCAGAUAUUUGACUACUGUAGUAGAAAUGAUAAGAAGUGUAAGAGUCAUCCAGGCACAGAUAUUAAAAAGAGCCACAUGAGAAAAGGCUCUGUCAUUUAUACUAAAUUAUUCUCUCUCAAAAGACAAGGCAAUUGCUUAAGUAGAAAAAUUAAUCAUAAAGCAUGUUAAAUCAUCGGGCGUGAUAAAAGUUGGUUUUCAUGAUUCAUGAUAAAUUAAUUUGGAGAACUAGAAGGUAUAACUAAAUAGACUUGUGAGAACUCACAACUGGGUAAGUUCAUUUUAUUUUCAGAUUCAGCACACCAGACAAAUGCUUUCCCAAAAAAAGGUCUUAAUUUUAUGUGGUCAUUAUUAUAAAACUUGCAUUUUAAUAUUAGGCAUCCUCAACCUCAUGGUGAGAUUUUAUGUAACACUUGGUAAAUAAAUAGAUGAAUCUGGGCAAAAACCUCAGAAUAAAAGAGUUUGUCCUGAAUUUUCUAUCCCUUUUCCUGUACUGUAGUUUUACACAUUUAAUGCCCUUUUUUCUUGUCCCUGGCUAUCUCAUAUAAUAGAGUAACAAUAAUAAUAGUAAAAUUAUAUCACCCUGGUUCGGCUGUCAGAAGCAAAAAUAGCUGGAAAUACCAGGCUCAAAAUUUUCCUUACUAGUUCAGAGGGGUAACCAAAUGUCCUCAGGUGUGCUUGGAAUCAACUGCGACUAUCAAUUUUUUUUUCCCGCUUCAUAUUAUUUCUCUUUUCCUUUGACACUCAAGAUGUAAUCCAUUCAUGCUGUGGUCACUGUGUUCACUUCCAGUGGAUAAUUUUUCCUGUUGUGUCUCUUUCAUCACCGUAUUGGCUCCAGGUUAGGACAGCUACGAGGAUUUUCAGUUUAUGGAACUGAUUAACUAUUUGGUCAUGCUCCAUUUCUUUUCCUAACCCACAUUCCCCUGUGCUUUUCUCCUUCCGUGUUGAAGAUACUUGAAGACACACCUCAUUGACACAGUCUGUCCUCUCACUCCUUUUCUUUAGGACUCUUACAAAUCACUUUGGGCUGGACCAAAAGAUAAUCUGAGUGUCUCAAUAAAGAUUUGACCUCUCUCAUCAAUCCUUUGACAUUUUCCCUAAAGCAAGCCUUCUGCAUAUUUUCUCCCUUUACUCUCAGGUAGCCUAUUGGGUCUUUUUUUUAAGAGGCUUAGUAGAGACUAUAUUAUCUAAUAGAUAAGAGGUGAAUGACCUGAGGACUAGUCAGCCAUUAGCCCUAAUGUAUCCAAUUGUUAGCAAUAAGGUUAAGUCUGUUUCUUUCUUGGUGUUCAAAUAGAUUAUAAGGCAAAUCUAUAAGCAAAGAUCAUGCCUGAAACAUCUGAUUUUACCAUAGAUAAUAAAGCUUAAUUCUGUAGUCCUUCAUUGUGUAGAUGUUGUCAAGUUAAAAACCAGAAUUCUUUGCUUGCUUCUGAAAUAUUUCCAGGAGUUUUGUAUGCAUAUAAUUGCUACCCCCGCUUCACAUAUUAUCAUCUUGUGAAAAACAAGGCUACUUUUCAUAAACAUCUGUUUUCCCCCAAUACAAAUCCUUUGAAAUUCAUGCUUAUCUUUUCAUCUGGCAAACUUAGACCUAAUUCCAGUUAAGACAGAAUUGUAGUAAAUCUUCCUCUUUGAAAACUGCUUGGCUGUUUUAGUAAAAUCUCAAAUCAUGACGAUGUUGUUAAUAACAUUUUGCUGAUAAGAAAAUGAGAGACAGGGAGAGAUUGAAUCAUCUGGGAAUACAGAAAUUCUAGAGCAAAAUUUGGACAGAAAAUAAUAUUACUGACUCCCUGGAAACCUUUUUUAUUUGGCUCAUUUACUUAUCUACUAAGCAGUGAAAUAUCCUAAUAUAUAAAAAAAAAUUCAUAAAUCAAGAUUUUUAGUCUUCCAAUAUUUUGGUACAAUGUAAAAAAUACAGAGGGGAAAAAACAUUAUCUUUGUAAAAAUACUAUGAUAUGAAGAUGAUUUAGACAUUAUUCGUUUAUAGUCAUUGUAAAGAGGUGCUUUUUUGAGUCUACAUUGUGAACCCUUUUUGGAGCUAAUAUUAUAUGUCAAGAUCACAUUCAUUCAGAUUCUUGCAGCAUCAGCAGAUAGAGUCAGGAAAAUAUCUCAGGAAGUUUUUGGAAUGAAUAUAUAUAUAUAUGUAAAAUCAUCUAAAUUUAUCCUGUAAUCAAAUAUAUAUUGAGGACCUACUAUGUGCAGAUUUUAUUCUUCGUGUUUGGUACCAGGAAAAUGUGUGCCUAAAAAUGCAGUGCUGGGGAAAAUGUGUACUUCAUCCUUUCAAAAUGAGGAAAAUAAGCAGAGUUUUCAGUGUGUCUUGAAAGUGAGUUUUGCCUAAAUUUUUUUUUUUUGUUCCUUUCUGGGUUCCUUUUGAUUUUGCUUUUCUCAUUUAUAAGCUUAUCUUCAAACAAUUGAUUAAAAUACUUCCUACUUCUAUUCUGAAUGUUGCCCUUUGUACCAUAUCAGAAAAUAUUUGAACUUACUUUGCUUUUCCAGGGUUUUAUAUCUCAAUUGUCAAUUCCCAACUAUUUGAUUCUUGUUGCUCUGACUUAUGAUUUCAAUUUUCCUCCUUUUAUUAGCUUUGUUUCAGAUUAUCUAUUCUCUCUCAGCUUUUGUUCUUUUUUUGAUGAAUAUUUCUUUGAAACUUCCCUGAGAUCAAGGCAGUAACACUUGAUAGCGCAGAGACUGGUUAGAAGUCUAUUUCUUUUUGAAAAAUAGCCAUUUCUAGAGAAUGUUGUUCAUAAAAGCAACUUCUGUUCUUUAGCAGAUUUUUUUUUCAGUUUUUGUAUUAAGUAUAUUUUAGGAGCUCAUGGUACUUCAUAAUAAACUAUAAGCACUCAUUUAUUUUCUUUUUCUGGAGGGAAAGACCCGUUAAAAUGGUUUCUAGAUCCCAGAAUAAAAGUCAAUUAUUUUAUGUUCAAAUGUAAAAAAAAAAUUGUUUGAUUUCCCUUUAAUCUGUUGAAAAGAAAUUUUGAAGUUUCUUAAAAAAAAUUGACUUCACUAAAUUGUAUAUUAAAGGAAUAGGCAUAAUUGAUAUUAUUUUGGGAAACACUUUAAAAGGGGCCUAAGAAAGGGGAAGAUCAAUGACAAGACACACUAAUUUUCUCAUAAAUCUCCAAAUAGUAGUAAUCAUUGGUAAGAUACUUUCUUUGAAAAUGUUUAAAAAUUUAUUGAGUGACUUGUUCAGAAGCAAAUAGCUAACUUUUACAUACGUUGGAAACUAACAUAUCAGCUAAAGUUCUUAUAAUUGCAAAUUUUUAAUGCCAUAUAAAAAAAUAGCAUAUAGGAAUGCCCAUCGUGGUACAGUGGAGACAAAUCUGAGUAGGAUUCAUGAAGACGCAGGUUUGAUCCCUGGCCUCGUUUAGUGGGUUAAGGAUCUGGUGUUGCUGUGAGCUGUGGUGUAGGCUGACAGCUGUAGCUCUGAUUUGACCCCUAGCUUGGGAAAUUCCAUAUGCCACGA
rnacentral:lncRNA from 1 species